rnacentral:rRNA from 1 species
UACGAAGGGGGCUAGCGUUGUUCGGAAUUACUGGGCGUAAAGCGUGCGCAGGCGGCUUCUCAAGUCAGGGGUGAAAGCCCAGAGCUCAACUCUGGAAUUGCCUUUGAGACUGAGUGGCUUGAGUACGAGAGAGGUGAGUGGAAUUCCCAAUGUAGAGGUGAAAUUCGUAGAUAUUGGGAAGAACACCGGUGGCGAAGGCGGCUCACUGGCUCGUAACUGACGCUCAUGCACGAAAGCGUGGGGAGCAAACAGG